rnacentral:rRNA from 1 species
UGAGUGCGAGCGGCUACGGCCGCGAAGUGGGUGAUGUCAAGCUUCCAAGAAAAGCCCUAUACCCGUUAAGGCAUGAUGGCCUGUACCCGAAACCGACACAGGUGGGGUGGUAGAGAAUACCGAGGGGCGCGAGGUAACUCUCUCUAAGGAACUCGGCAAAAUGGCCCCGUAACUUCGGGAGAAGGGGUGCCACCGCAAGGUGGUCGCAGUGAAGAGGCCCAGGCGACUGUUUACCAAAAACACAGGUCUCCGCUAAGUCGCAAGACGAUGUAUGGGGGCUGACGCCUGCCCAGUGCCGGAAGGUUAAGGAAGCUGGUCAGCGCAAGCGAAGCUGGCGACUGAAGCCCCGGUGAACGGCGGCCGUAACGAUAACGGUCCUAAGGUAGCGAAAUUCCUUGUCGGGUAAGUUCCGACCCGCACGAAAGGCGUAACGAUCUGGGCGCUGUCUCGGAGAGAGGCUCGGCGAAAUAGAAUUGUCUGUGAAGAUGCGGACUACGUGCACCCGGACAGAAAGACCCUAUGAAGCUUUACUGUAGCUUGGUAUUGUGCCCGGGCUCUGAAUGCGCAGGAUAGGUGGGAGGCUUUGAUCCAUGGCUUGCGGGUCAUGGUGAGCCAACGGUGAGAUACCACUCUUUCAGAGCUAGGGUUCUAACGGUCACCCGUCAUCCGGGGACCGGACAGUAUCAGGUGGGCAGUUUGACUGGGGCGGUCGCCUCCUAAAAGGUAACGGAGGCGCGCAAAGGUUUGCUCAGACUGGUUGGAAAUCAGCCGACGAGUGCAAAAGCAGAAGCAAGCUUGACUGUGAGACCUACAAGUCGAACAGGGACGAAAGUCGGCUUUAGUGAUCCGACGGUUCUGAGUGGAAGGGCCGUCGCUCAACGGAUAAAAGUUACUCUAGGAUAACAGGCUGAUCUCCCCCAAGAGUUCACAUCGACGGGGAGGUUUGGCACCUCGAUGUCGGCUCAUCGCAACCUGGGGCUGAAGUCGGUCCCAAGGGUUGGGCUGUUCGCCCAUUAAAGCGGUACGCGAGCUGGGUUCAGAACGUCGUGAGACAGUUCGGUCCAUAUCCGGUGCACGCGCAGGAACAUUGAGAGGAUUUCUCCCUAGUACGAGAGGACCGGGAGGAACGCACCUCUGGUGUGCCAGUUAUCGUGCCCACGGUAAACGCUGGGUAGCCAUGUGCGGAGUGGAUAACCGCUGAAAGCAUCUAAGUGGGAAGCCCACCUCAAGAUGAG